AAAAACGCACCCAUCGUCAAAAACUAACCAACAUCACGUUUAUUACAUAAUCGUGAACAUCUUAUUAUUACGAAAUAUACACAUGACUAGGGGGUCAAGAGUCAACAACUCGUGAUUGUAACUUCCCAUUGUAACAUCAAUCUCUUUAUUGAUUUAUAAAACGAAACUCGAUUUAAUAUAUUCCUCCCUGUUCGUGUAAUUCUAUUUACCACAGCUAUUUCAAUUCGGAAGUAGAAAAAUACAUAGAAUAAGUUUCCGCGUCAUAAUACUUUAUACAUAACUAUACGUAUACAUGAUUUUCUCUACUGGAGACGCUGUGUGAACGAAGGCGUAAUGAAAUGGUAACUAUGAUCUAUCAUUAGUUCGUAUUUUAAUCAAAGUAGUUAAUACUCAUUGUUUUCAAUCGACAUUUUUUACAAUUAAAAUAGUUCAGUCUUGCUAUACUGAUUAUAUUGCUAUGAAACGUUUUUUUACAGGCUAUGAAAAAAAUAGUAGUCUAAAUUUUAUUGGGAUUUUUUUUGUUGUUUCCUCUGUGUCUUCCGUUCAUAAAAGUAAUUUUUAAAGUGAUGAAAAGUUAAAAAGAAUUAUCAUUUUAUAUAAGUUAUACAUUGCAUUUGAUCUUUUUACAAACACACUAUAUGCAAAAUUGCACUCGAAUGUAAAACAAUGAACAAAAUUAAUGUAAUAAUGAAAUGCUAGUUUUCAAUUAUUUGAAAAAGUGUACCACCCUACCUUACACAAGAGCAUCACACUCUAACGUACAAUUAAUAGCACUCACACCGCUCAAAUUUUUUUAAAGUCUUUUGUUUAACUUACCAUUUCAUACCGUCCAUUUCGUACCCUGGCACAUAUCAAUUUGUUUCCUGGCCAUUUUUAAGCAAACUUCAAUGUCGUAUUUUAUGGUAAAUUGACAUGUACAUAUAUGUCAUUUCGUACCUUUUUGUAGAUUGAUAUCAAUGCCAUUGUGUUCCUUAUUGAAAAUUAAUAUCAAUGCCACUUCUCGUUUCUUUUAAUAGAUAUAUAUAAGAUGGAAAUCAUCUUGCAAAAAAGGUUGUUUGUAUUGUAUCAAACUAACAAAACUAAAGAGAGUUUUAUAAUUGAUUACAUCAUGCAGAUAAGGUUUAUUUUUUGAAAACAGUUACUGUAAUUGUACGUUUUUUCGCGGGUACUUAUUUUUGCAAAUUGUGUAUUUCAAACAAGUUCGCGGGUAUUUAUCGUCGCGAUUCUUGUCUCAAAAAUAAAAAAAAAAAGAAUUGUUUUAUAGUUCUAAUUAUUGCCUCGUGUGUAAAUCUGAACUGUUUUUAAAGUACACGCUUGGCAUGCAUUUCAGACUGUAAAAGAUGACAGUUUGAAAAGAGGUUUGGUUACGACCGGUAUUGCAAGUAAAUGACAAACUGUUGUAACUUUGGUUACUUGUAAAUAAUCUUCGGGUGUAUUUGUUUGUGCUUUUUUCGUUUUCAUAAAAUCUAUUUAUAAUAAAAUGUUUAAUAAAGAAGAUGUGGUAUGUUUGCCAAUGAGACAACUGUCCAAAAGAGACCAAAAUGGAAACAUCUUAACAACCAUAGGUCACCGUACGGCCUUCAAUAAUGAGCAAAGCCCAAUCGCAUAGUUAGCUAUAAAAGGACCCGAUAAGACAAUGUUAAAAGAAUUCAAACGAGAAAACUAACGGCCUUAUUUACAUAAAAAAAAAAUUGAACGAAAAACAAAUAUGUAACACAUAACAAACGACAACCACUGAAUUACAUGUUUGUUAGUUUUCAAAUGAUUACAGUAAAGCUUUCAAAAAAUUGUCUGCUACUAUACACACAUGUUUGUAAAUCAAUCUAUAACAACAACAAUAGAAAGUUAAAUAUGUUCAAGGUAAUCUCGAGUCAAUAUUGUUUCUUUGAUCAUUUAUUGGUUUUUACUUGCCAUCCGUUGAUGUUAGUCUAGUUUGUUAAUUAAUCGGAUUAACAGGGUUGUAAACAUGUCAUGUCAUCGAUGUAAGGUCAAGUUUACAUGCAUGAAUAUUAAGUUUUCAGUUAAAAAGUUGGAUUUAGAUUCGCGUGAAUUUAUUUUCGCGAUAACAAACCAAACGCGAAAAUCGUGAAAACAAAUACAUCGCGAAAAUCAUUACAAUUACAUUAUUCAUUACAGUUGCAGAUAAUUACUGUUGCUUUAUUAAACUCAUUUAAGUAUCAAAAUAUCAAUUCAGUAUAUUUCCCGAACACAAACAAAGGUUAUUUAAAACUAUUAUGUGUCCAUGCACUGCUAGAUUAAAAGUCAGCAAUAAUCCUAACCCCAACCAAAUAGCAAAGCAUAUAACUCAAACACAUCAAACGAAUGUAUAACAAGUGUAAUAUUGUUGGCUUGAUACAGGGAUUUCUAAUGUAGAACAUUGUUGAUUAAACCUGGUUUUAUAAUUAACUGAACCUCUCAUUUGUUUGGCAGUCGCAUAAAGUUGACAACAAUGUGUAAACAUAAUUAAACUUAUUAUAAGUCUUUAUCAAAUGUCUACUGCUGGGGGUAUUGUUUGCAUAACUUUGUUACAAUAUGUUAUUUUAAGAAUUAUCUCAAAAUGUUUAUGCUUACUCCAAAAGGCUUAUAUAUGCUUACCUAGAAAUGAAAUAAAUAAAAACCAAAACAUUUAAACACUAUUAGUUAUGCACUUUGUAGAAUCUUUUAAAUAAUAAAAGUAAUAUCACAAAAAUACUGACCUCAGAGGAAAUUCAAAACGGAAAGUUCCUCAUAAAAGUUCAGACCUAUGUUAUACAGAAUAUCAAAUACCGUUGCUGGUACAUAUUUUCAACUGUGUGCAAAUAUAUUAUACUUAAUAGUGAAAAUGUUUUAAACCAUAUGGACGUCUCAAUAAGAUAAAUGGAAAAUGUUUCGAAAAAUUCGAUUUUUAGUUACGAAAUGGCAAAGGUACGUACUGGAUAAGUUAUGAAAUUACUUAAUUAUGUGAUUGUUUAUUUGUUCAAUAGACCAGCUGAAAUUCGAGUCAUGUCAGGAAGGCAGUAUACAGUCUCAGAAAGAAAUACAGAGCACGUGUUUUGUUCGUUCACAUCACAAAGAAACUACAUUUCUAUGCACAGAAUGUAGUCAAUUCAUUUGUGAUCAAUGUGUGUGGAUCAGUACAUGCUAGGCAUGCCUUAAAAUCCAUUCCAAGAACAAACAACGUUAUACUUAGUAAUGAAAUACUCGAACAACAUAUUCAAAUAUAUUCAGAAGUAUGGAAGGUACAAUUGGAGGAACAGUUGAACGCAGUGGAUCUUCAUGCAUCAAAACUUGUAGAAGUUAUAAAUAAAGUGAAAGAUGCUUACAAGGAUGAAAUUCUUCUGAAAAAUGCAAAAAACAAGUCAAUUAUCAAGCAGAUCGAAGAAGAGUCUGACAACAACAAUCCAUCUAUAUUAUCAUUGGCACAAACAACUUUUACACCAUCAAAAAUAGAUUUUCUCCGUAUAAAGCGACAAUUCGGAGAACUAAGUGCAGUUGAAAAAACUGUUAGUCUUCAGCCUGGUUUAUUAAACAGUUGGCCCCGUUUACAUACAGUUAAACAUCUGACAACAGGAAGCCAACAAGGUUUUGUCUAUCGUGGUAUGUCAUCUGAUAUCGAGGACGAAUAUGAUCAUUGUGAUGUAUAACAUAAUUGUGAUUUGUUUGAAAAACAAGUGAAGUCAAAAAAUGAAUUGUAAGAAUAUCAAACAAAAUAUCGUUUGGAAAUGAUAAACACGCUAUUUGGUUCAUUUUUUUUUAAAACAAACUUAAUAAAAUGAACUCAUUAUAGAUACCAGGAUUGAAAUUUUGCACUUGCGCCAGACGCACGGUUCGUCUACAAAAGACUCACCGGUGACGCUUUUGAAAACCGGUGAUGCAAACAUUUUACGUUACAUUUCGAAUACUAUAAAUUUAUAGUGCUAGUAAGGCAUUCGCAUUGUCCUAUGAAAAUUAUAAUUGAUGUUUUAUUUACAAGUUUUCCACAGGGAAAAUCAGGUUAUUUAAAUAGUUUGGCACAGAGGACAAUUGGCGGCGAGGGCUGCCAAUACAUGCAGUGUAACAAAUAAAAAACGUUUUGAGCAAUGCUUUUUAAAUUUUGAUAAAAUGAUACUGCUGAAAAAAAGGAGGUCAAUUUUGAUAUUGACGAUUUUGACGUUUUAGUCCUUGAUAAAAUAGAAAAUUGCACUAUAUGACGUUUCAAUGCCAUUAGUAAGACGGACACAGUCGAAUAUUAUAUAGAUUAUCAAUGGUUUUUCAAACGAGUAAGCGUUUCUUACCUACAAUCAUACUAAAUUACGACAACACUUACUUCAGAAGACAAAAAAAUUCCUCAAAAUUUUAGGAACAACUUUAUGGCUUUUCCCAAGAAGAGAUUAAUGUCGAAAAGCUUAUGACGUCAUGUAUACUCUUUCGAAUAGAAUCAAUAAAUUCUAUAUCACGUAAAGUUGAGUAAUAUGGAAAUUUUGUUUCUAAAAAGAUGCAAAAUUAAGAAAAAGAAACA
rnacentral:lncRNA from 1 species